UACGUAGGGGGCAAGCGUUGUCCGGAAUUACUGGGCGUAAAGGGCGCGUAGGCGGCUUUGCAAGUGACGGGUGAAAGCCCUCGGCUUAACCGAGGAACUGCCUGUCAGACUGUAAGGCUUGAGACCGGGAGAGGUGAGUGGAAUUCCCAGUGUAGCGGUGAAAUGCGUAGAUAUUGGGAGGAACACCAGUGGCGAAGGCGGCUCACUGGACCGGAACUGACGCUGAGGCGCGAAAGCGUGGGGAGCAAACAGG
rnacentral:rRNA from 1 species